rnacentral:rRNA from 1 species
UACGUAGGGGGCAAGCGUUGUCCGGAUUCAUUGGGCGUAAAGAGCGUGUAGGCGGCCAGGUAGGUCGGUUGUGAAAACUGGAGGUUCAACCUUCAGAGGUCGACCGAAACCAUCUGGCUAGAGUCCGGGAGAGGAGAGUGGAAUUCCUGGUGUAGCGGUGAAAUGCGCAGAUAUCAGGAAGAACACCCGUGGCGAAAGCGGCUCUCUGGAACGGUACUGACGCUGAGACGCGAAAGCGUGGGGAGCGAACAGG